rnacentral:misc_RNA from 1 species
GAUGAAGAACGCAGUGAAAUGCGAUACUUGGUGUGAAUUGCAGAAUCCCGUGAACCAUCGAGUCUUUGAACGCAAGUUGCGCCCGAAGCCAUUAGGCCGAGGGCACGCCUGCCUGGGCGUCACACGUCGUUGCCCCCCCAUCUACUCCUUCGGGAUUGCGGGGGGCGGAUGAUGGCCUCCCGUGCGCCUCGCCGCGCGGUUGGCAUAAAUGCCAAGUCCUCGGCGACGCACGCCACGACAAUCGGUGGUUGCGAAACCUCGGUUGCCCGUCGUGUGCGGUCGUCGCGCAUCGAGGGCUCGAAAAAAUUGCCGGGUUCCGGCUCGGCUUUCAACGCGACCCCAGGUCAGGCGGGGUUACCCGCUGAAUUUAAGCAUAUCAAUAACGGAGGA